rnacentral:lncRNA from 1 species
GUCGGUGAGUAACGUUAUGGUGUGCCCUUGAAAGUAGGGUCCGAGCCACGCCAACGGCCGUAGCCAGAGAAGGAGGAGAAGGCUGGAAAACUGGAGGUGAGGUCAGAGCCUGAGAUCUGGCUGCGGAGGCCGUAGAUCAUCGCGUGGACGCUCUGCGGGGCGGCAUCAGGCGAAAAUCUAGCGGAGGAAGAAGGAGAGGAUGCCGGGGAA